rnacentral:lncRNA from 1 species
AAUAAAUAAUAAAAAUUUCUCGGAAAAGCAUCACUUUUACAUUGCUUCUUUUUAAACAAGAUGAUGGUGGAAUUGGUUCGAUGGAAGCUUGCUACGCUUUUAUUUCGAAUAUCCAAGUCCGAUUCGAAGGUCUUAAACUUCCAGGAUUUUUACAUGAGUGAUCCUGCAAGAUUCGUUAAAUUGUAUUUGAUUGUUAACCCAACAGCUAUAUGGGGGAUGACGAUAGACAAUAGAAUGUCCCGCCGGUUUACAACACAUAAUUUGAAAAGCCUUGAUAUUAAAAUGAAAAAAUAAUACUUUGUGUUAUUCUCUCGAAGAAUAUAAUUCAUAAUACAGAUUCAGCGGUACCUCGACUUAUUAACCGCUAUAUAUACGAAUUUUUUUCACACCAAAUUUUGGCCUCUAGAUAUGAAUCGUG